UGGGGAAUUUUGGACAAUGGGCGAAAGCCUGAUCCAGCAAUGCCGCGUGUGUGAAGAAGGCCUUCGGGUUGUAAAGCACUUUUGUCCGGAAAGAAAUCCUUGGCUCUAAUACAGUCGGGGGAUGACGGUACCGGAAGAAUAAGCACCGGCUAACUACGUGCCAGCAGCCGCGGUAAUACGUAGGGUGCAAGCGUUAAUCGGAAUACUGGGCGUAAAGCGUGCGCAGGCGGUUUGCUAAGACCGAUGUGAAAUCCCCGGGCUCAACCUGGGAACUGCAUUGGUGACUGGCAGGCUAGAGUAUGGCAGAGGGGGGUAGAAUUCCACGUGUAGCAGUGAAAUGCGUAGAGAUGUGGAGGAAUACCGAUGGCGAAGGCAGCCCCCUGGGCCAAUACUGACGCUCAUGCACGAAAGCGUGGGGAGCAAACAGGAUUAGAUACCCUGGUAGUCCACGCCCUAAACGAUGUCAACUAGUUGUUGGGGAUUCAUUUCCUUAGUAACGUAGCUAACGCGUGAAGUUGACCGCCUGGGGAGUACGGUCGCAAGAUUAAAACUCAAAUGAAUUGACGGGGUCAUGCUGUUUUCU
rnacentral:rRNA from 1 species